UCGAACGAAGCACUGGAGAACGAAUCUUCGGAGGAAGUCUCCUUUGACUGAGUGGCGGACGGGUGAGUAACGCGUGGGUAACCUGCCUCACACAGGGGGAUAACAGUUGGAAACGACCGCUAAUACCGCAUAAGCCGGAAGGAUCGCAUGAUCCGGCCGGAAAAGAUUUAUCGGUGUGAGAUGGACCCGCGUCUGAUUAGCCAGUUGGCAGGGUAACGGCCUACCAAAGCGACGAUCAGUAGCCGGCCUGAGAGGGUGAACGGCCACAUUGGGACUGAGACACGGCCCAAACUCCUACGGGAGGCAGCAGUGGGGAAUAUUGCACAAUGGGGGAAACCCUGAUGCAGCGACGCCGCGUGAGUGAAGAAGUAUUUCGGUAUGUAAAGCUCUAUCAGCAGGGAAGAAAAUGACGGUACCUGACUAAGAAGCCCCGGCUAACUACGUGCCAGCAGCCGCGGUAAUACGUAGGGGGCAAGCGUUAUCCGGAUUUACUGGGUGUAAAGGGAGCGUAGACGGCCAGACAAGUCAGAAGUGAAAGCCCAGGGCUCAACUCUGGGACUGCUUUUGAAACUGCCGGGCUGGAGUGCAGGAGAGGUAAGCGGAAUUCCUAGUGUAGCGGUGAAAUGCGUA
rnacentral:rRNA from 1 species